rnacentral:rRNA from 1 species
GACGAACGCUGGCGGCGUGCUUAACACAUGCAAGUCGAACGCUGAAGACCUGGCUUUUGUUGGGUUGGAUGAGUGGCGAACGGGUGAGUAACACGUGAGUAACCUGCCCUCUUCUUUGGGAUAACGCCCGGAAACGGGUGCUAAUACUGGAUAUUCACUGAUCUUCGCAUGGGGGUUGGUGGAAAGGUUUGUUCUGGUGGGGGAUGGGCUCGCGGCCUAUCAGCUUGUUGGUGGGGUGAUGGCCUACCAAGGCUUUGACGGGUAGCCGGCCUGAGAGGGUGACCGGUCACAUUGGGACUGAGAUACGGCCCAGACUCCUACGGGAGGCAGCAGUGGGGAAUAGUGCACAAUGGGCGAAAGCCUGAUGCAGCGACGCCGCGUGAGGGAUGGAGGCCUUCGGGUUGUAAACCUCUUUCGCGCAUGGUCAAGCCGCAACUGUGGGUUGUGGUGAGGGUAGUGGGUAAAGAAGCGCCGGCUAACUACGUG